AAAAAUGACAACCAUGUCGGUUAAUUUUCUCAACGGUCGGGCAAUCACGCGUCGAAGAUUGUGCUUUUGCAGGAAAUAACCGAGGAUCAGGAGGUUCGUGAAUAAAAACGAGUGGCAGCAGAACGAGCGGCUUCAAAUCGCUAAAAAGCGGUCUCCGGAAAUUCGACUUCUGGUGUGGUGAAAAUGGCGCUGCAUGACAAAAAAAAAUGCAAUAACUACUCAAAACGAAAACCCCAGUUAUGAUGCCGGCUGCCGGACACAAUGUAGCGUUUCCUGAGGCCUUCUAAAUUGUCAUCCGAAGCCAAAACACCAGCAGCAAUCUGCUGUAUUUGGGGGAGUAAUUAGGAGAGUUUCUGAUAAGAAAGACUAUUGCCGAGACUACUGAAUUCAUAACUGGCAUCUAGUGCAUGUACGCUCCAACAACUGCGCAAUCGUGAUGAAUCGCUGAAAAAUUUUAGGAAGUGACCCGACUGGAUCCAAAUUUGGG